rnacentral:tRNA from 1 species
GCGGGGGUGGCCGAGUCCGGUCAAAGGUGUUGUGGGUCAGAUGCUGGCUUUAGGCGCCAGACUUAAGAUCUGGUGGCGUAGGCCUCCGCGGGUUCAAAUCCCGUCCCCCGCA